rnacentral:rRNA from 1 species
UACAGAGGGGGCAAGCGUUGUUCGGAAUUACUGGGCGUAAAGGGCGCGUAGGCGGCCUUCUAAGUCGAACGUGAAAUCCCCGGGCUCAACCCGGGAACUGCGUCCGAUACUGGAAGGCUUGAAUCCGGGAGAGGGAUGCGGAAUUCCAGGUGUAGCGGUGAAAUGCGUAGAUAUCUGGAGGAACACCUGUGGCGAAAGCGGCUCACUGGACCAUUACUGACGCUGAUGCUCGAAAGCUAGGGGAGCAAACAGG